rnacentral:rRNA from 1 species
AACGAACGCUGGCGGCAUGCCUAACACAUGCAAGUCGAACGAGACCUUCGGGUCUAGUGGCGCACGGGUGCGUAACGCGUGGGAACCUGCCCUUAGGUUCGGAAUAACUCCCCGAAAGGGGUGCUAAUACCGGAUAAUGUCUUCGGACCAAAGAUUUAUCGCCUUUGGAUGGGCCCGCGUUGGAUUCGCUAGUUGGUAGGGUAAAAGCCUACCAAGGCGACGAUCCAUAGCUGGUCUGAGAGGAUGAUCAGCCACACUGGGACUGAGACACGGCCCAGACUCCUACGGGAGGCAGCAGUGGGGAAUAUUGGACAAGGGGCGAAAGCCUGAUCCAGCAAUGCCGCGUGAGUGAUGAAGGCCUUAGGGUUGUAAAGCUCUUUUACCCGGGAUGAUAAUGACAGUACCGGGAGAAUAAGCUCCGGCUAACUACGUG